GCCCUGGUAGCUCAGUCAGUAAAGAAUCUGCCUGCAAAGCAGGAGACCCAGGUUCGAUUCCUGGGUGGGGAA
rnacentral:tRNA from 1 species